GCCCAUUAAAGUAACAGGGCCAACCUACACUGCAGGUAGGGCAGGCCUAUUCAUGCCCAUUAAAGUAACAGGGCCAACCUACACUGCAGGUAGGGCAGGCCUAUUCAUGCCCAUUAAAGUAACAGGGCCAACCUACACUGCAGGUAGGGCAGGCCUAUUCAUGCCCAUUACAGUAACAGGGCCAACCUACACUGCAGGUAGGGCAGGCCUAUUCAUGCCCAUUACAGUAACAGGGCCAACCUACACUGCAGGUAGGGCAGGCCUAUUCAUGCCCAUUACAGUAACAGGGCCAACCUACACUGCAGGUAGGGCAGGCCUAUUCAUGCCCAUUACAGUAACAGGGCCAACCUACACUGCAGGUAGGGCAGGCCUAUUCAUGCCCAUUACAGUAACAGGGACAACCUACACUGCAGGUAGGGCAGGCCUAUUCAUGCCCAUUACAGUAACAGGGCCAACCUACACUGCAGGUAGGGCAGGCCUAUUGAUAACAUGGGAAGGCUGCAUCCUAGUCCACUAUACCGUCCACUAGUUUGAGC